rnacentral:lncRNA from 1 species
CUGAGCCCCGCCCCGCCGCGGGGGAGAGGCCUCCGGGAGCCGGGGCCGCCCAGAGCCGCAGCCGCCGCGCAGGCAGGGCCGGGCCGGGCCGGGUGCGCGGGCACAAAGGGGCCGCUGCACAUGGCAGGCAGGCGAGCAGAUGCCAGCAGACAGCUUUUGUCGUCCAGUCUCCCAGUCAUCCGCCUGACCUGCUCCUGUCUGAACAUCCUACCGCGAGUCAAGGCAAAUGGGCUCAGCCGCUGUUCCACUCCACCCAGGCUUGGAGUGGACUCCCCGUGAGCCUGCAGAGGGGCAGGAUGCUGAGUAGCAGGCCAUGCGGGUGCGCCCGGGGUCUCACCCCAGCCCCAGGGAAGAGGCUGUUUCAUUCAGUGAACCAAGAGGUGAUGAAGGGGAGAGCUCAAGCGGCCUCCUGUUCCCUUGGGAACUUGAGGGGGUGUCGGGAUGUGUUCCCUUUCUGCACUCAGCUGGGAAAGAGCUGGUGGAGAAUUUUCCCUUCUGAGCAGAGAGAGAAUUCUCUUCACCUCCCCCGCCCCGCCCCCGCCCACUCCCACAGCCACCAGUUCUCUGGGCAACCCUAGUUAGCAGUUUGGGCCUUUCUUUCUGCACACAAUUGACCUGGAGGGCCUGAGUCUGGUCCAUUCAGAGGCCACAUGGAACACUCUGUUUUUGUCACUGCCCUCUCAUCUUCUAGAAGCAUAACCUUAUCCAACAGAAAGAGGCAAAAGCGAUUGGGCCCGACCUCUCCCAGUGACAGUGUUUGCACUUCAUUCCAUGGCACAGCGUCUUCUGUAACUUUAAGAUUUAACAUUUCAGAUUAUUUUCCACUGGGGCUCCCAUCGAUGCUGAGUUCUGGCUACUUUUUUCCCCUGAUGCUGAAAGGUUCGAUUCUUCCAUCUAUCCAUCAACAAAUCACAUUGAAUGACGGUGCUCAGUGACCCAGGAUGCCACUGGAGACAAAACACACUAUACAUAUUUUCUGGUCUCCCUGGAAAAUUAGUGCAAACACUUUCAUCACUGCGGAGAAGGGAAAUAUGCGCGGAGCUGUGAAAAUCUGCUUUGUUUUUUGUUUUUCUAAGAGGAGAUUUCCCCCUCCUUCAAACAGUGAAAUUUAUAUUGUUCUUUGUCUGCAAAUUAACCAGUUAAGUAGAAUUCCUGUAUGUCUCUUUCACUUUCUGCAAGCCAAGGCCCCUCUUUCUCUCCACCCUGUAUUCAUACAUAGUCCAGGAUCACCCCCUGUCCCCCUCCAAUGCUGCUUGAAAUUUCAUUCCAUUUUCGUCCUGACUUGUUCAAAGUAACAUUUAAAAUAUUUUAAUUCAAAUUCUUAUCUCAUCCAUCCUGUUUAAGUUCCAUUUUAAAGAAUCUUCUUUUCUUAUGAAUGGUCUGUUUUUGAUUCAGUGGAAAACUUGGGCUGCUCAACCCUUUCUCUCUCCUGUUAAAUUUUCACUUUUAUGAAGAGAUCAGAUGUCACCCUCUGGAAAUGGAGCGGGAGGAGACCCAGGAGCUCUGGCCCUCCCUGCAGCCCCGCGUGGUGCUCCCUGUGCAGCCGCUCCCCCUGUUCAGUGGAGAGGACAAUUAAUCUCCCACUACACAGAAGUGGUGCCUGAAUGCACCAAGAUGAAAAUGUUUGUGUACAGGGUGGUCUAUUUAAAACAGUUCCCAUAUGAUGCAAUGCAGCUUGACAAGGAAACUCUUUCAGAUGACUCACCAUUUCACAAUAACAAUUAGCAUUUGAGAAUCUUGCAUAGAACACCCAGCAGAAGAAUAUUUUAUUGAUUUCUUAAGAGUUUCCACACGCUGGCUGGGGCUUCAAUCAAGACAACCUAUUAAAGACUGAUGUCCAAUUUCAUUUGUAUGAGUUCGCAGUAAGGGAGAUAAAGUUUAACAGUGCAAAAGAGAAGGACUUAGGAAAUGCAGACUUCAAAUUCAGAUAAGCCAUCAGUGGGACCUAGUUUUUCAAAAAACCAAUAAAAUGUCUGGAUGCAUUAAUGAAGGCAUAAUAUUUCAAAUGAAGGAGGUGAUAAUCAAUCACAUUAUAUUCUUUGAUGGUCAGGCUAUAUUUGGAGUAUUUUUUAAGUUACAGGCAAUGAAUUUUAAAAUAACCAGAAAGCAUCCAAGGUAGACAAUCUAAAUAAUGAAGACUGAAAACUAGAUUCUCUAGAAGAACAGGAUUCUGCAUUAGAAUUGGGUUGCAGUCCUAGCAGUCCCUUACCAGCUGUGAGCUUAGGCAAGUUACCUAAUCUUGCCUCAAUAUCCUCAUCUACAAAAAAGAUGAUAAUUUUUAAAAACCCAUACCAUGGGGUUAUUCUGAGGGUUAAAUAAUUCAUACAUAGUUAGUGGCAGAGUGCCUGGCACAUAGCAUGUGCUCAAUAAAUAUUAGAUAUUGUUAUUAAUGUUGACAACAAAAACAGUGAUUAUGAUACCACCUUAUGGUGGUAUAGCGUUUUCAGUUUAUAAAGUGACUUUAUAUCAUUAUGUUUUCUAAUGUUCAUGUUUAAUACGAUUUGGUCAUUACUAUCCUCAUUUUUGGAGGAAGAGAACUUUGGGGUCAUCUGCCCUGAGAGGGCCUUUCCUUCCUGCUCAGCUUGGCUGGGCACCAGCCUCCUAUGCCACCUCCAGGCAGUCCUCACAGCCUGGGGCGCCUCUGGCCCCCAGCAGCUGACCCUCCUCCUGAGGAGGAACCAGCCCUGGAGGGAGGACCCCUGACGAUGGAUUUGGCCAUCUUUGUGAUUACAAAGUUUCCAGUCAGCCUCGCCAUUCAAAUCUCAUUGGUCCAUCUAUGCAAAAAAAAAAAGCAAAACAAAACAAAAAAUUGUGUGUAUGUGUAUGUGUAUGCACAUACACAUCCAUGUUCGAAAGAAAAUACACCGCAAGGUUAACACUGGUACUCUCUGCGUAAUGGAUUAUAGGUAUUUUUAAAUCUUUCUUUCUAAGGUGUAUUUUCUAAUUUAAAUUUUUUUUUUCACUGUGGAUUUGUAUUGCCUGGGAAUAAAGAACUAAGAAGUGCUUCACAACAGCAUGGGGCUGUUGUGACCGGUUCAUUGUAACUAACAUUAGAAAGGCCCACAGUUUAUAAAAGAUGAUGAAUGGGCAGAACCUGCUAGCAUCCAUCCAAUAUCCGUUCUGUCCUUCUCCCUAACCAUGGUGAUUUUGACAGGGCAGCACUGGGCCGAAAAAUUACACACCUUCAUUUGCAGCCAGGGGUGGUCACACAGCCCAGUUCUAAUGGAUAAGAUGAGAGCAGAAGUCUCUGAGUGAGAAUUUAACUUUAUCCUUUUGUUUUUGUUAUGAUUUUCUUCUACCAUAUACUUGCAGCAAUAGGAAGACUUUAUUGUUGUUA